rnacentral:rRNA from 1 species
GAUGAACGCUCGCUACAGGCUUAACACAUGCAAGUCGAGGGGAAACGACAUCGAAAGCUUGCUUUUGAUGGGCGUCGACCGGCGCACGGGUGAGUAACGCGUAUCCAACCUGCCCAUCACUUGGGAAUAACCUUGCGAAAGUAAGACUAAUACCCAAUGACAUCCCACGAAGACAUCUGAAUGGGAUUAAAGAUUUAUCGGUGAUGGAUGGGGAUGCGUCUGAUUAGCUUGUUGGCGGGGUAACGGCCCACCAAGGCAACGAUCAGUAGGGGUUCUGAGAGGAAGGUCCCCCACAUUGGAACUGAGACACGGUCCAAACUCCUACGGGAGGCAGCAGUGAGGAAUAGUGGUCAAUGGGCGAGAGCCUGAACCAGCCAAGUAGCGUGCAGGAUGACGGCCCUAUGGGUUGUAAACUGCUUUUAUAAGGGAAUAAAGUGGGUCUCGUGAGACUUUUUGCAUGUACCUUAUGAAUAAGGACCGGCUAAUUCCGUG